UCUAAACAGAUGCCUGUGCCAGGGCAUCACACUGUGCAAUGUCACAGAUGGCAGGGCACAGCCCAGGACACUUCAACUCCUGCUGUGUCUGAGUCUCUUCCCAGGAACCGAGGUGCUGUUGCCACCCAGGGUCAGGCAGCCCUGAGCUCUGGACCCCGGAACAGAUUUCCAAGAAAGGGCCCCAGGAGGGCAGGAGCCAGCUGCCAAAGAUAGCAGGAGACCCAGCCUUUGAGAAAUGGGUUUGAAAAUGUGUGUUGCUCCAUCUUCGCCAGUUCCAAUAUUCUACAUUCUGUUUUGCUCCUUCUCUACUUUCCCUUUUUCCCUCUCCAAUCUAGACCCUGAGUCCUAGCCCUGAUCACAGCUCCACAUCUGCACAGACACAGACUUGCCUGUCUGCUCUCAUCAGUCCAGGAUGCGGAAUGGAAGAUUCCUCUCUCACUCCCGCUCCGUCCCUUAUCCUGACUUGUCCUGGUGAGUCUUAGCGCUCAGCCCCUCCCAAGGUUGUCUCUCUACGCUGAUAUUUGCAGAGUUAUUUCCCCCUUUUUGGUCUCUUUAUCUCCAACAGUUUGAAUCACUGGUUCAGAGACUGACAGCUCUGGAGUGUGGCUCUCUACUAGCUGUGGGUGCAGAGUGGAUCCUGGCUAACCUCUUGUGGUCUUACCCUUGGCCUUGCUGUCUGGCAGUCCAGGCUUCCCAAUGGCAACUCUUGGCCAUGUUGUUGAAUGCAGGGACUCCAAGGCCAUGCUGGGGUCUUCGGUGUGUCUGUCCAUGAUGACACUCUAGCCGUCCAUCCUGUGGGGGCGCUGCUGAUUGUGUGGGUGCAGCCGAGACUGUGGUGUAACAGGGUUUCCUCCCUCACUGCUAAGCUCCAGAGUCCCAGCAGAGGAAGGGCUCAGCCCUGCCCCACUCUGCCAUGGUCGGCCGCCUCUUCUGCUGGAUGAUCCUGGGUCUCCUGGGAGCAGGACACUCGGAACCUGGAGUCAGCCAGACACCAAGCCACGAUGUCACAGAGGUGGGACAGAGCACAGUUCUGAAAUGUGACCCUAUUUCUGGCCAUCUUUCCCUCUAUUGGUACCGACAGACCCCAGAAAAAGGAAUGGAGUUUCUGAUUUCUUUCUACAACAAGGCUCCUUCUGAGAAGGCAGACUUCUUCCAGGAACGGUUCUCAGCUGCCAUACAUGAGGACACACGUGCCACACUGACGAUCCAGCCGUGCAGCUGGGGGACUCUGCCACGUAUCUGUGUGCCAGCAGCUUGGCCACAGCACUACAGAGUCCCUUCCUGCCCGUGCACAAAUUCCACAGCUCCUCCUGGGUCUGCAGGCUCUCAGAGCCCCUCCCACCCCUGGGGUGGGAGAGGAUUGUGGUUGCGGCUGCAGAUGCUUCCCCUGGAAGGCAACCAUUAACUCCAACGGGCAAAAUGGUCAAUAGAAACAGAGACAGCUGGGGCCAUGGUCUUCAGGAAGUGUCCACAGACACAGCUGAAUGUGGCUGUUGACCCGAGGACGGGACAAUUGUCG